UUCCGGUUGAUCCUGCCGGACCUGACUGCUAUCGGAUUGAUACUAAGCCAUGCGAGUCAUUGUAGUAAUACAAGGCAGACGGCUCAGUAACGCGUAGUCAACCUACCCUAAGGACGGGGAUAACCUCGGGAAACUGAGAAUAAUACCCGAUAGAACAUAGCUCCUGGAAUGGUUUAUGUUUCAAAUAAUUUAUUGCCCUAGGAUGGGACUGCGGCCUAUCAGUUUGUUGGUGAGGUAAUGGCCCACCAAGACUAUUACAGGUACGGGCUCUGAGAGGAGUGGCCCGGAGAUGGGUACUGAGACACGGACCCAGGCCCUAUGGGGCGCAGCAGGCGAGAAAACUUUGCAAUGUGCGAAAGCACGACAAGGUUAAUCCGAGUGGUUUCUGCUAAAGGAACCUUUUGUCAGUCCUAGAGACACUGAUGAAUAAGGGGUGGGCAAGUUCUGGUGUCAGCCGCCGCGGUAAAACCAGCACCUCAAGUGGUCAGGAUGAUUAUUGGGCCUAAAGCAUCCGUAGCCGGCUCUGUAAGUUUUCGGUUAAAUCUGUACGCUCAACGUACAGGCUGCCGGGAAUACUGCAGAGCUAGGGAGUGGGAGAGGUAGACGGUACUCGGUAGGAAGGGGUAAAAUCCUUUGAUCUAUUGGUGACCACCUGUGGCGAAGGCGGUCUACCAGAACACGUCCGACGGUGAGGGAUGAAAGCUGGGGGAGCAAACCGGAUUAGAUACCCGGGUAGUCCCAGCUGUAAACGAUGCGGGCUAGGUGUUGAAGCGGCUACGAGCCGCUUCAGUGCCGCAGGGAAGCCAUUAAGCUCGCCGCCUGGGGAGUACGGCCGCAAGGCUGAAACUUAAAGGAAUUGGCGGGGGAGCACCACAAGGGGUGAAGCUUGCGGUUUAAUUGGAUUCAACGCCGGA
rnacentral:rRNA from 1 species